rnacentral:rRNA from 1 species
AGGAAUAUUGGUCAAUGGGCGAGAGCCUGAACCAGCCAAGUAGCGUGAAGGAUGACUGCCCUAUGGGUUGUAAACUUCUUUUAUAAAGGAAUAAAGUCGGGUAUGCAUACCCGUUUGCAUGUACUUUAUGAAUAAGGAUCGGCUAACUCCGUGCCAGCAGCCGCGGUAAUACGGAGGAUCCGGGCGUUAUCCGGAUUUAUUGGGUUUAAAGGGAGCGUAGAUGGAUGUUUAAGUCAGUUGUGAAAGUUUGCGGCUCAACCGUAAAAUUGCAGUUGAUACUGGAUAUCUUGAGUGCAGUUGAGGCAGGCGGAAUUCGUGGUGUAGCGGUGAAAUGCUUAGAUAUCACGAAGAACUCCGAUUGCGAAGGCAGCCUGCUAAGCUGCAACUGACAUUGAGGCUCGAAAGUGUGGGUAUCAAACAGGAUUAGAUACCCUGGUAGUCCACACGGUAAACGAUGAAUACUCGCUGUUUGCGAUAUACAGCAAGCGGCCAAGCGAAAGCGUUAAGUAUUCCACCUGGGGAGUACGCCGGCAACGGUGAAACUCAAAGGAAUUGACGGGGGCCCGCACAAGCGGAGGAACAUGUGGUUUAAUUCGAUGAUACGCGAGGAACCUUACCCGGGCUUAAAUUGCAGAUGAAUUACGGUGAAAGCCGUAAGCCGCAAGGCAUCUGUGAAGGUGCUGCAUGGUUGUCGUCAGCUCGUGCCGUGAGGUGUCGGCUUAAGUGCCAUAACGAGCGCAACCCUUGUUGUCAGUUACUAACAGGUUUCGCUGAGGACUCUGACAAGACUGCCAUCGUAAGAUGUGAGGAAGGUGGGGAUGACGUCAAAUCAGCACGGCCCUUACGUCCGGGGCUACACACGUGUUACAAUGGGGGGUACAGAGGGCCGCUACCACGCGAGUGGAUGCCAAUCCCAAAAACCUCUCUCAGUUCGGACUGGAGUCUGCAACCCGACUCCACGAAGCUGGAUUCGCUAGUAAUCGCGCAUCAGCCACGGCGCGGUGAAUACGUUCCCG